rnacentral:sRNA from 1 species
AGCCCGCGCAGUCCGCGCAGCCCUCAUCGCAACGGGGCCCGCGCGCAGUUCCACAGCUCCAGCUACAAAAGAACUGAAAAGGAACAGGGAAGGUGCAUGGCGUCUUGGAUUCCAGGAAGUAGGCAGUGUGUAUGGUUACUGGAAUUUACCUGCCAUCUUGCUCAAUUAUCCUGUCAAAGAUCCACCAAAGAGAAAGCAGCCCUGUGCCAGUUGCUCUGCCAGCCUUUCACAGGAGAAGUGUCACUAGAAUACUACAGCCCCCACAGGCUCUGCUCCACAGAAACUUAAGGCUGAAAGAGUGUCCGCCAUCAGGGACAUCCUCUGUCACUACGGUGGGAAGAGAACAUGGCCUUACAUAGGAAGUCCUUCUAAAGAGCUGCCUGCCAGCUGCCCUUCCCCAGAUCCCGAAUAUCCUCCUGGCCAGGUGGAGGAGAGAACAGUUCCUCAGCUGGUCAUGCUGAGCUCAUACCCUGAUGGCUGCUCCAUGAGGUCAAGACUGGGUCUCCUCCCUCCUCCCCCUUCACCAAUGCCUGGUCUCACGGGGCUAGUUUUGACCCCCACGCUAUG